AUCGUGCAAUAUUCACAUUCAUUCCAUGACCAAUAUUGGCUUUACGUUGGACAAUAUCGGUCAAAGCAUUUUGAAUGUAACCAACAUUGGAUCAAUAUUUAGCCAAUGUUUAGCCAAUGCACCGUGCUACUAGGGUAUGCAUUUUUCGUCGCAAACCCGACUUUCGUUAGGUACAGUGGCGUGGCGAAGGUAAAUCAGCCCGUCAGUCGAGAGCGUGGAAAAACGUAUCGGAAUUACAAACAAAACUCAUUGAAAAGUCUCUCCCUCUUUUUGAAUCCGACUCUUUCGAUGAGAAGACUCUCGCGAGAGAAAAGUUCAAACAUUUUUAUCGCUGAAAAAACCGGACAAGUGUGUUGAGGUGCCAUUCCAACAAAAACUCUAGCUCUUUUUGACAGUCAAUACAAAAUUAUUAUAUAAAAACUUUAUGAAAGUUUUAACGAGAAACGAAAGGUUUUGAAGAAUGAAUUAUCUCUGAAAUUAUGCGUGGACAAUGAAGGGGUGAAGUCCUUUAAGUAAAAUUUUGCCCACUGCCCCUUGACUCUCAUAAAAUUUUAUUUUUAUAAUAGUUAUAUUGAUUGCUGUAAAAAAAACUAGAGUUUUCGUUGGAGUGGCACUCAUUAACCAGAAAACAUCCCGAUCGCGAGAGAGAAACGCGCGGUAAAGGGUCGACACAAACAAACUACACCUCGCGCGGUUUGCAAAGUUUCAAGUCUAUUGUAAACUCUAAGCAAACUGUCGAUCUCAUCCGUUCAAUUGGCUCUUAAGCUAGAUAUAUAUCUACGAACGAACAGCGAGCGCGAACGUUUGGGUAAUCGUGUUCUGAAGUCGUUUGUUCCUUUUCUCAGUUGUGGAGAACAACCGGCAUCCGGUCAGAUUCGGUGUUCGCUGUUCGGUGUUCGAGGUUUUUGUGACGUUUGUACUAUACGUAACAAAAAUUUUAAGUAUUGGAUAACAUUUAGGUAAACAAUAAUUCGAAUUGUGCAGUAAACGCGCGUAGAGAUAAAUCAUUACAUUAUAUUUUAAUUUUAUAUUAUACGUAUAUUGUUCACGUCGCGCGUAACGCUCACCAUCAGUCCAUUUUAUAUGUUGAUGAUUGUUCAUAGCAGAGAGAACGAACAGCACGUAUGCGCGUCCAUGUCACGCACGAGCUGCCUUUAAUGUAUGUACACACGGCGUCAUUGAUGCCUAGCCAUCUGGGAGUUUUACACGGAUCGAGGUAAUUUUGAAAAACGUACGACUUUCUAAUUCCUUGCGCAUCAUGACUACGGAAAGAGCGAAUCAGCAUUGCCGGUUUCAAUGCCAUGAUGCACGAAGAGUUAGAAAGUCUCACACUUUUCAAACUUACCUCGAUCCGCGUGCAACUUUAGAUGGCCAGGCAUUAAUGACGUGUGCACCACCUCAUGAGAGAAUCGAGUCAAACGCGAAUCAAACUGUUUUGUUCGAGUUUGCCUCGGCGUACAUCUGCUAAAUGAUAACAACGAACGUUCGCGUUUGCUGUUCGUUCGGUGUUCGUUCGCUAAGUAUAUAUUACCCAGCUUUACACGCUCGUUUUCCGCUCUGCGAUAACGAUUGCUCGAAAGUACACUCACGUAAUUUAGAUAAUUUAGAUCGCUCGCACAACGAUCUGACGUUUCGUCUCACGGUAGGACACUCCGAGUAAGGAGGAUCGAUCUCAGAGAGAAGAUGCAGAGACAGCUUGGUAGAGGAUGUAACUUCCUAUUUCUAAUAAUCACAGGCAAAUUAAAUGUAUAUUGUUAAUUUCGUAAUCUCUCGAUAAUCUCUUUUUUAUUUCUCGCAAAUAAACGCAAUGCUUACCUAAAA